rnacentral:rRNA from 1 species
GAUUGAACGCUGGCGGCAGGCCUAACACAUGCAAGUCGAACGGUAACAGGAAGCAGCUUGCUGCUUYGCUGACGAGUGGCGGACGGGUGAGUAAUGUCUGGGAAACUGCCUGAUGGAGGGGGAUAACUACUGGAAACGGUGGCUAAUACCGCAUAACGUCGCAAGACCAAAGAGGGGGACCUUCGGGCCUCUUGCCAUCAGAUGUGCCCAGAUGGGAUUAGCUDGUUGGUGAGGUAACGGCUCACCAAGGCGACGAUCCCUAGCUGGUCUGAGAGGAUGACCAGCCACACUGGAACUGAGACACGGUCCAGACUCCUACGGGAGGCAGCAGUGGGGAAUAUUGCACAAUGGGCGCAAGCCUGAUGCAGCCAUGCCGCGUGUAUGAAGAAGGCCUUCGGGUUGUAAAGUACUUUCAGCGGGGAGGAAGGUGUUGYGGUUAAUAACCGCAGCAAUUGACGUUACCCGCAGAAGAAGCACCGGCUAACUCCG